GUCCUGACCAAAACCUGUGCCAGCAGUCGCGGUAAAACAGGGUGGGCAAGCAUUAAUCAUCAUGAAUGGGUCUAAAGGGUUCGUAGAUGGCUUAAAAAGUCUUUAUUCAAAAGAAAAGAUACUACUAAGCUAGAGUAUUUAUUGGGAAAAAAGUAUUUUUAAAGUUAUAGAGAUGAAAUCCAGAUAUUUAAAAGACUUCCAAAAGCUUAGGCAUUUUUCCAUCAUAUACUGACAUUGAGGAACUAAAGUUAGGGGAGCGAGCCGGAUUCGAUACCCGAGUAGUCCUAGCCGUAAACUAUGAAUGCUAAGUUAAUUGUAAACUAAAGUGAAGACGUUAAGCAUUCCACCUGGAGAGUACGUUUCAACGAAUGAAAUCCAAAACAUUAGGCGGUUGUAGACCCCAGCAGUUAAGCAU
rnacentral:rRNA from 1 species